rnacentral:rRNA from 1 species
GGGACGAUAAGACCCUAUAAAGCUUUACAAUUAUUUAAUUAGAUUAUAAAUUGUUGGUAUAACUUGAUUUAAUUAAUAUUUGUUUCGUUGGGGCGACGAGAAUAAAAUUAAAAUAACUGUUCUUUUAUUAGUAGUUACAAAUUUGUUUGGUUAAAAAUUGAUCCUUUAUUAGAGAUCAAAAGAUUAAGUUACUUUAGGGAUAACAGCGUAAUUCUCUUUGAGAGUCCAUAUCGACAAGAGGGGUUGCGACCUCGAUGUUGAAUUAAAGUA